AAUAAAAAUAAUUGCAGUUGAAAUAUAAUCAGCAGGAUAUUUUUUUGUCAUUUAAAAUUUCUUUCCAAAUUAAUAUAAAGCUUUAACAAGGGAAAAAAAAGGAAAAGGAAAAGAGAAUAGUUUCAUGACAGCUUCUCAAGGGGGACACUGAUGGCACCUCGUUUGGAGGCAAACUUUUUUUCACGAAGAUUCAGUGCGGCAAUAAAGACGCUGGCGGAUUUAACGUAGCGUGUCUUCGUUAAGCAAGUCAAACGUAGACCCAACUUUUCCCUUCUUGUCUUCUUGGUUUAAAAUAACUGGUUGUGUUCGAAACCUUCUCAUGUAAAAUUGACUAAACUAUGAAGGAAUCUCUACUUUAACUAUAACAUUUAUGAAAUAAAAUAGAUACUACUAAAAGUUAUUCUCAUUAUCCAAAUAAAAUAUGGAAAAGAAGAAGAAAAAUUGAAAAAGGUAUGAUAUCUUCCCCGACCUAUUGGCGCCAAAAUGAUCGUUAAUGUUUCUCUGUCGGUUGUUUUGUUUAAGUUUCAUCUACCCGUCGGAGCAGUUAGAACUUGUUUCCACAACGUCGAGACGUUAGUCUGCCACGAUCAUCGAGACUCGUAAAAAAACUCGUAAAAUUGUAGCAAUGAUACUACUGUCUGUCGUGGAUCUGAAGAAGGAAAAUUGGUAAAGUUUAGAGAAUCUAAUGGUGUCUAUUAUACGAUUUAGGGGUUAUUCUGAUAUACAUAUGAUGUUACAAGUGCUCGAAUGAUAAGAAUAUCUGAAACAUUUGAAACAAUCAAAAUUGUGAAUUCUCUAAAUUGUUAAACUUUAAAAUUGAAGUGUUGAAAUUGAAAAUAUUGAAAUAAAAAAUAAAUUGCAAAAUUCGUAAAUAUUGUACAUUGUAAUUAUAAUUUAAAAGAAUUUAAAUCAGAGUAUUCGGGCAAGGGUAAGUAAAAAGAAUUCUUGCCAAGACGAAGAGAGAAAAACGUCAUGGGAUAUCAGAUAAGCAAAAUGAAAGGAAGAAAUAUAUAGUGAAUGUUCGCGGUUGGCGCGCUGAAAAUGGACCAAUCAUCGUCCUCGUCUUCAAGACAGUUAGCGUGUCUCGAUAUCUUUAGUCACCUGAAGUUAUUGUACUGCACAUAUUGCCACUAUUUGACUUGUACUAAAUCGCACUCUAACUAAUUGUCAACGUUAAGAGAUAGAAAUGCAAGAAAACUAAUGAUACAAAAUAUUGAAAAAGCACAUAUUUUGCUUUUACAAUAUCUGCAGAAUUCUUUG